AACGAACGCUGGCGGCAGGCCUAACACAUCCAAGUCGAGCGCGCCCUUCGGGGUGAGCGGCGGACGGGUGAGUAACGCGUGGGAACGUGCCCUUCUCUGCGGAAUAGCCUCGGGAAACUGAGAGUAAUACCGCAUACGCCCUUUGGGGGAAAGAUUUAUCGGAGAAGGAUCGGCCCGCGUUGGAUUAGGUAGUUGGUGGGGUAAUGGCCCACCAAGCCGACGAUCCAUAGCUGGUUUGAGAGGAUGAUCAGCCACACUGGGACUGAGACACGGCCCAGACUCCUACGGGAGGCAGCAGUGGGGAAUCUUAGACAAUGGGGGCAACCCUGAUCUAGCCAUGCCGCGUGAGUGAUGAAGGCCUUAGGGUUGUAAAGCUCUUUCAGCUGGGAAGAUAAUGACGGUACCAGCAGAAGAAGCCCCGGCUAACUCCGUG
rnacentral:rRNA from 1 species